rnacentral:tRNA from 1 species
GGGAUUUUAGUUUAAUUUUUUCAGAGCACCACUCUGUCAAGGCGGAAGCUGCGGGUUCGAGUCCCGUUUGUCCUG